UCUUUCAUGUGCCUUUCAGAAUUUUACAGGAAAAGAAGAUGAAUAUUGGUCCCUGUCAUUUGGCACACAGAUUCAAAAGAGAAAAGAGCAAUCCAAAUUCUUCUUAAAACAUUUUUUAAACAAUAGACGCUGGUUGUUUCUCUGCAGGAGUUGGAAUAUUGCAUCUAUCUGUGGUUGAAAUGGAAAACUGUCUGCCUGCAUCAUUAAAAACAGAAAAAUUUCUAAAACAUGUACCAUCCCCACCCCCCAGGAUAUGCACACUGAAUAUUAAGCAAAGUCUUUUUCCAGCCACAGCUGCCUGGAAGCAAGACACCAUUUGCUAGGGUACAUUCACUGAUCCCCCUUUUUCCUGUUUUUCAUUUUAGGGCUCAAAGUUGCCCAAUAAUCAGGUGAACUAAGAAGCUGGAUUGCUGACUGGGAAAAUCUGCACUCCAACUUCCCUCUGGAAAGCAUUUCUGGGCUGCAGAUUGUAAAUGAACUGCUGUUCAUUGUGACUACCUGGAGGAGAAUUCUUCUGUCCUCUGUGAUUACUUAGAGGGGAAAGACUUCUAACCUAACAAACAGGAUUCCUUCUAAAAAAUAAGAUAAAAAUGGAAACACCAUCAUCAAUGCAAAACCCUCUCUGCACCCCAUAAUCGGAAAACACCCUGGAAUUUUAAAACUUAUAAGUGUGUACAAUCAGUCUGUAGAGCCAUAAGCACAGAACCCAACACAAAACCUACCUAAUAUCACCUACUUUUAAAAUAAAGUUGCUUGGCUUUUCUGAGUAAAACAAGCCUCUCAGAACUAUGAGAAUGUAGGGGUGCUUUGAAUCCACUAAGAGGAAUCUCAAGAUGAAUCUGCUAAUAAGCUUAAUAUAAAGGAUUAAUUAAAUGACUUGAUAGCUUUAACUUUUUUUUUUCAUACUGUGCCUAACACAAAGACUUGAGCCAAGAAAUACACUGUCAAUACUAAGUUGAAUUAAGGUUGGAUUUCAAAGGCAUCUCUAAUCUGCGAAAGACAUUUUUAAAUGGCCACAAGAAAACCUGAUUUCUGCCUCCAGGUGGAAGGCCAGUUUUGCCAAAGUAAUGAGAAAGGGGCCUUUGACCUGUGGACAAACAAGCCAUAUGAUAGUGUGUUUGUAGACAAAUAGCAAUGGAUAGAAGACAAGAGGGAGGGUGAGAAAGAGAACAUGAAUCCAUUCCACCUUUUCCUAGGCACUGUGGUAGGAAUUUGUGGUAGGUUUUAGCCUG
rnacentral:lncRNA from 1 species